rnacentral:sRNA from 1 species
AUUCGAUGCACCCGGAGGAACGGAAGGCAGGAUUGCAGCUUCCUCAGUGCAACCUCCAAACAGGAAAUCUGAGAUGUAUAACAUCUUAUAGUUUGGCUUGUCAACGUUGGUCAUGCGGUGGCCCCAAAAUAAACUCCCUGCUUCAAAGGAGAGCGUUUCAGAACUGCCUGGCAGAGCAGCCAGAAGCUUGGGGCCAGGGCAGAAGGAAAACUCGGGGAGCAUGUUCUGAAUUAAGACACUUUCAAGAAAAUCCUUUGUAUUACCCUGAAUUGUACCCUUGUUUCAGAGCCUAACAGGGUUUUCUGAUUUGCUGUUCCCUCCUCCCCACUGGGUGUCUGUUCUGGAGGCGCUGCUGAGCGCGCGCUUCGACGUGAACACGCCGCUGGCGCCCGAGCGCGCGCGCCUCUACGAAGACCGGCGCAGCUCCGCGCUGUACUUCGCGGUGGUCAACAACAACGUGUACGCCACCGAGCUGCUGCUGGAACACGGCGCCGACCCCAACCGCGACGUCAUCAGCCCCUUGCUCGUGGCCAUCCGCCACGGCUGCCUGCGCACAAUGCAGCUGCUGCUGGACCACG